UUGAAAAAUGGAGAGAGAGACUGAAAAAGGAAGAGAAGUAUCGACAUUGGGUUAAUUCGUGUGCUUUCCUCCAUCACCGAUCACCACUGUCGUAACCGUUGCCAUCGCCGACAGUCACCGUCCAUCAUCCUACUCCUUGGACCUCAUUUCCAUCCGAUCCACCUCAGAUCCACAUCACUAUCAUCGUUUGUUCAUCUCAGAUUUAUGUCGCCAAGGUCUUCCAGCCACCAUUUCUGCUCUUGUUACAACACUACACCUCCGCCGCUUGUACUGCCGCCGUUCUUGCAUGUAGAUGCACAAGAUCGCCGCUGUCGGUUCAAGCAGAGGCCUCCUCUACCUUGGAAAGAAAUCAAUUACUCGGUCAGUAUAUUUCUCAUCAUUUUGCUUAUUGGUUAUAUAUAGCCAUAAAACGAGUUAGCCUGAUUCUAUCAAUACCGUUAUAAUCCUCUUAAAAGGAGAGAGGUUUGCAAGGGAGGAAGAGAAGGUGGCAAGAAAUCAGCCUAAUCACAAGCCUCCACCAAGGCUUCUUCAGCACUGAAAUCUCACUCUUAUCCUAGAAGAAAUGAAGUGCCGUCUGCAAAUGCUGCUGCAAGUCAAGCUGCAAAGAGGCCCUCUUCCUUUGGUGGCCCUACUCAUGAUAAAAAGGUGUAUGUCUUUUUUUUUCUUUUUCUUUUUUUUUACAAUCUAAAUUUUAUGAAAGCAAUAGUAAAGUGUAUUUAUCUUGACUAAUUCAAAAUCAAUGUCGAUAACUGAGCUAAAGCUAUCCAUUGAUUGACUCGAGAAGGAGCACGAUUUCUACUUUGCGAAAUUGAGGAAAGUGUAAUGUGGUGGGAAGUUCAAUGCUUUAAUGUAUUCAUUCAUUUAUCACUCUAACAUAAGUGAUAUGUUAUUUGAUACUGCUUUGUAUAAUGUAUUCAUUCAUUUAUCAUUCUAAUAACUUGUGACUUGGAAGACAUGUCUUAGAAUUUGAAAUCUCACAAGCAUUCCAAGGAAAAACCUGAUAAGGGGCCUUGCAAAAAUUGUUCCCGCUCUUGCUGCUGGAAACUCCAUUGUGCUCAAGCCUCCAACUCAGGCCUAAUCAACUGUGUUACCGGCAAAGGCUCGGAGAUCGGUAACUUUCUUAUAAUGCAUCCAGGUGUAAAUUGCAUAAACUUCACUUGUGGAGACACCGGCAUUGCAAUUUCAAAGAAGGCAAUGGAGUUGGGAGGAAAAGAUGCAUGCAAUGUAUUUGAGGAUGCUGAUCUUGAUCUUGGUUCCUUAAAACUCAAGGAUAUAACGGUAGCCAUGAUGAAUUAAGAUAUGAACCCUACCCAUACACUCAACUUGCACAAGUGGAAGGAGACCAUAACCGAGUCGCUGAGAUAUUAGUUAAUUUAUUAAUGAAUGUAUAUACUUACACAAGCUUAUAGGCUUGGAGUAUUUU